GAUGAACGCUGGCGGCGUGCCUAAUACAUGCAAGUCGAGCGAACGGACGAGAAGCUUGCUUCUCUGAUGUUAGCGGCGGACGGGUGAGUAACACGUGGAUAACCUACCUAUAAGACUGGGAUAACUUCGGGAAACCGGAGCUAAUACCGGAUAAUAUUUUGAACCGCAUGGUUCAAAAGUGAAAGACGGUCUUGCUGUCACUUAUAGAUGGAUCCGCGCUGCAUUAGCUAGUUGGUAAGGUAACGGCUUACCAAGGCAACGAUGCAUAGCCGACCUGAGAGGGUGAUCGGCCACACUGGAACUGAGACACGGUCCAGACUCCUACGGGAGGCAGCAGUAGGGAAUCUUCCGCAAUGGGCGAAAGCCUGACGGAGCAACGCCGCGUGAGUGAUGAAGGUCUUCGGAUCGUAAAACUCUGUUAUUAGGGAAGAACAUAUGUGUAAGUAACUGUGCACAUCUUGACGGUACCUAAUCAGAAAGCCACGGCUAACUACGUGCCAGCAGCCGCGGUAAUACGUAGGUGGCAAGCGUUAUCCGGAAUUAUUGGGCGUAAAGCGCGCGUAGGCGGCUUUUUAAGUCUGAUGUGAAAGCCCACGGCUCAACCGUGGAGGGUCAUUGGAAACUGGAAAACUUGAGUGCAGAAGAGGAAAGUGGAAUUCCAUGUGUAGCGGUGAAAUGCGCAGAGAUAUGGAGGAACACCAGUGGCGAAGGCGACUUUCUGGUCUGUAACUGACGCUGAUGUGCGAAAGCGUGGGGAUCAAACAGGAUUAGAUACCCUGGUAGUCCACGCCGUAAACGAUGAGUGCUAAGUGUUAGGGGGUUUCCGCCCCUUAGUGCUGCAGCUAACGCAUUAAGCACUCCGCCUGGGGAGUACGACCGCAAGGUUGAAACUCAGAGGAAUUGACGGGGACCCGCACAAGCGGUGGAGCAUGUGGUUUAAUUCGAAGCAACGCGAAGAACCUUACCAAAUCUUGACAUCCUUUGACAACUCUAGAGAUAGAGCCUUCCCCUUCGGGGGACAAAGUGACAGGUGGUGCAUGGUUGUCGUCAGCUCGUGUCGUGAGAUGUUGGGUUAAGUCCCGCAACGAGCGCAACCCUUAAGCUUAGUUGCCAUCAUUAAGUUGGGCACUCUAAGUUGACUGCCGGUGACAAACCGGAGGAAGGUGGGGAUGACGUCAAAUCAUCAUGCCCCUUAUGAUUUGGGCUACACACGUGCUACAAUGGACAAUACAAAGGGCAGCGAAACCGCGAGGUCAAGCAAAUCCCAUAAAGUUGUUCUCAGUUCGGAUUGUAGUCUGCAACUCGACUACAUGAAGCUGGAAUCGCUAGUAAUCGUAGAUCAGCAUGCUACGGUGAAUACGUUCCCGGGUCU
rnacentral:rRNA from 1 species